UACGUAGGAGGCAAGCGUUGUCCGGAAUUACUGGGCGUAAAGCGCGUGUAGGUGGUGGGACAAGUCUGUUGUGAAAGCGCCUGGCUUAACCGGGCGAGGUCGGCGGAAACUGUCCGACUCGAGGACGGUAGAGGGGGGUGGAAUUCCCGGUGUAGUGGUGAAAUGCGUAGAGAUCGGGAGGAACACCUGUGGCGAAGGCGGCCCCCUGGGCCGGCCCUGACACUGAGGCGCGAAGGCUAGGGGAGCGAUCCGG
rnacentral:rRNA from 1 species